GACGAACGCUGGCGGCGUGCUUAACACAUGCAAGUCGAACGGAAGGGCCCUGCUUUUGUGGGGUGCUCGAGUGGCGAACGGGUGAGUAACACGUGAGUAACCUGCCCUUGACUUUGGGAUAACUUCAGGAAACUGGGGCUAAUACCGGAUAGGAGCUCCUGCUGCAUGGUGGGGGUUGGAAAGUUUCGGCGGUUGGGGAUGGACUCGCGGCUUAUCAGCUUGUUGGUGGGGUAGUGGCUUACCAAGGCUUUGACGGGUAGCCGGCCUGAGAGGGUGACCGGCCACAUUGGGACUGAGAUACGGCCCAGACUCCUACGGGAGGCAGCAGUGGGGAAUAUUGCACUAUGGGCGGAAGCCUGAUGCAGCAACGCCGCGUGCGGGAUGACGGCCUUCGGGUUGUAAACCGCUUUCGCCUGUGACGAAGCGUGAGUGACGGUAAUGGGUAAAGAAGCACCGGCUAACUACGUG
rnacentral:rRNA from 1 species